UUAGACAGGCGGAAAAAACGGAGUGUUCUGGUUGUUUGCGCUGCUGGGCCGAAGGGACGUAGGCACUGGGCAGUCGACGUUUCGGGCAUUUCCUAAUCUCUUCCUCGACCUCUCGUAGUCUCGUCUCUCCUCUCUCUCGCGGCCGCGACACACAGGGGUGCGCUGCCACCGCCGCUAUUCUCUCCGGCUCGCCGCUCCUCGCUGCGUACUCCUCAACCACCUCCGCGUUCGACCAAUAGCUGUCGUCGCGGAUCUGGGCUCCAUGAAAAAAGGUGGAGCGCCUCUCGAACCCUGACAAUGCUAGAGUGGCGGCGACGGUGGCGGUGAAGUGCUCUGUGGCGCCGCUCCAUGUCCCCCCUCCCCGAGAGAUGCGCAAGGGAAAAUGAGGCGGCGACGAUGCAUCGCUGCAGUCGCUCUCCUUCAUCCUACAAGCAUUGCUACUCUACAUCUCGCUCGCCUCAAAAAGUUGCUACGGUUGGAGAUGGGAUACGAGGUGCUAACGUCUUACCAAUCUCAAAUUUGUGCAGGUGUUGCUACCAUGGUUCCGGUCAACUAAUUCUGGCAAAUAUUCGAGGCUGAUUCAUACCGAGCCGCUGACCGAUCCGGUGCAGUCCAUCAGAUCGGGAGAGCAAAAAGCAUGCCGGUGGAUGAGGGGUGAAGCGAGGCGGUCCUCACUAAUUGAUGUGGUGCAAAGCCAUGCACGGCUCAAUCUUUGUUGGUUCUGCUGAUGGCGGAAAGGGCCUCGUUCUCUUCCCUGGAGUUGACAUGCGGUGGAUUUUCAUGCCCCUAUGCGCCUCCCCACCUCACUACUCGACAAAAUACGACGGUACUUCGUCCGCCCUUAAGGUUUGAUUUUGAUGUAUGGUUUGCGAGGAUCCAGUUUUGUUACUUGAUCCACUUUCUGAUUGUUUGUAAGUGCAACCUUAAUUUCUUGUUUUCAAGGUUUAACAGGACCGUAGCAUGGAUUGUUUGGUCUGUUUGGCCGAGGAGAGCACAACAACAAGAUAUGCAACAUGUAGUUCAUCUAGCAAGUCAUGUCGAUGUGCUGCAGUAGCCUGGGUUGAUCUUAUAUUUGGCCUCUGAAUGGCUUUAAGUCUUACAAUUGAUGAUCUCCUGAUUCUAUUGCCAUGUUUUAAUAGACGGAUGUAUCUUCUGAAACACGUGAUGGAGUCUUAAUAUGCUUCGGGCAAUGUAUUCUUGAGUGAGAAAUUGCUCCAUGCACUCGGCAAUACUGAGAACAAAUUUAGGAUACAUGCUUCAGAACUUCUGUUAGAACAGAACAGUUUUAACUGAAACAGACUUGAGUACACACUUUAGUCCAGUAGGUAAUCUAGGACAGUAAAAUUGUAGCUUUCUCACAAAUAUCUUGUAUCUAUUUUAGUUUGAAGCCACCCAGUAGUUCUAUGCUGCGGCACCAAUGGACCGUACUUUUUUGGA